ACAACAAUAAAAUCUUAAUUAUAAUAAAAUACUAACUAAACUCUAAUUAUACCAUAAUAAUACUAAGCAAGCUUUAAUCAAAUUCAAAAAAAUCUCAAAGGAAUUUCAAAGAAAUAAUAAAAAAUCUUAAAAAAAUAUUAGAAUGAUCACAAAUAUAUCUCAAAUACAUCUCAAUUCAAUCUUACUUUAAUCCUAGUUAAAAUCCUAUUAGACUUCAUUCAAACUUUAUGCCAAAAUUAACUAAAUCUUAAAUCCUAAAAAAACACUAAUAAAAUCCUAAAUCCUAAACCAAAUCUUAAAUCCUAAAUAAAUCUUAAACCAAAUCUCAACCAAAUUCUAAAUCAAACCCUAAACCCUAAAUCAAACCCUAACCAAAUCCUAAAUAAAAUCCUAAAUCCUAAACCAAAUCCUAAUCAAACCCUAAACCAAAUCCUAAAUCCUAAAUGAAAUCCUAAAAAAAUUCUAAAUCAAAUCUUAAAUCCUAAAUCAAAUCCUAAAUAAAUUCUAAACUAAACCUUAAUCAAAUCCUAAUCAAACCCUAACC
rnacentral:lncRNA from 1 species